AGUGAGCGCUGGCGGUAGGCCUAACACAUGCAAGUCGAACGGCAGCACAGUAAGAGCUUGCUCUUACGGGUGGCGAGUGGCGGACGGGUGAGGAAUACAUCGGAAUCUACUUUUUCGUGGGGGAUAACGUAGGGAAAUUUACGCUAAUACCGCAUACGACCUACGGGUGAAAGCAGGGGAUCUUCGGACCUUGCGCGAUUGAAUGAGCCGAUGUCGGAUUAGCUAGUUGGCGGGGUAAAGGCCCACCAAGGCGACGAUCCGUAGCUGGUCUGAGAGGAUGAUCAGCCACACUGGAACUGAGACACGGUCCAGACUCCUACGGGAGGCAGCAGUGGGGAAUAUUGGACAAUGGGCGCAAGCCUGAUCCAGCCAUACCGCGUGGGUGAAGAAGGCCUUCGGGUUGUAAAGCCCUUUUGUUGGGAAAGAAAAGCAGCAGGUUAAUACCCCGCUGUUCUGACGGUACCCAAAGAAUAAGCACCGGCUAACUUCGUG
rnacentral:rRNA from 1 species